rnacentral:rRNA from 1 species
GAUGAACGCUGGCGGCGUGCUUAACACAUGCAAGUCGAACGGAAAGGCCCAAGCUUGCUUGGGUACUCGAGUGGCGAACGGGUGAGUAACACGUGGGUGAUCUGCCCUGCACUUCGGGAUAAGCCUGGGAAACUGGGUCUAAUACCGGAUAGGACCACAUUUUGGAUGGUGUGGUGGAAAGUUUUUCGGUGUGGGAUGAGCUCGCGGCCUAUCAGCUUGUUGGUGGGGUAAUGGCCUACCAAGGCGUCGACGGGUAGCCGGCCUGAGAGGGUGUACGGCCACAUUGGGACUGAGAUACGGCCCAGACGCCUACGGGAGGCAGCAGUGGGGAAGAUUGCACAAUGGGCGCAAGCCUGAUGCAGCGACGCCGCGUGGGGGAUGGCGGCCUUCGGGUUGGAAACUCCUUUCGCUAGGGACGAAGCGUUAUGUGACGGUACCUGGAGAAGAAGCACCGGCUAACUACGUG